rnacentral:rRNA from 1 species
GGCGGCGUGCUUAACACAUGCAAGUCGAACGAUGAACCUCCUUCGGGAGGGGAUUAGUGGCGAACGGGUGAGUAACACGUGGGCAAUCUGCCCUUCACUCUGGGACAAGCCCUGGAAACGGGGUCUAAUACCGGAUAACACUGCGGAUCGCAUGGUCUGCGGUUGAAAGCUCCGGCGGUGAAGGAUGAGCCCGCGGCCUAUCAGCUAGUUGGUGGGGUGAUGGCCUACCAAGGCGACGACGGGUAGCCGGCCUGAGAGGGCGACCGGCCACACUGGGACUGAGACACGGCCCAGACUCCUACGGGAGGCAGCAGUGGGGAAUAUUGCACAAUGGGCGAAAGCCUGAUGCAGCGACGCCGCGUGAGGGAUGACGGCCUUCGGGUUGUAAACCUCUUUCAGCAGGAAGAAGCAAAG